rnacentral:rRNA from 2 species
GCACUAUACGGUGAAACUGCGAAUGGCUCAUUAAAUCAGUUAUCGUUUAUUUGAUAGUACCUUACUACUUGGAUAACCGUGGUAAUUCUAGAGCUAAUACAUGCUAAAAACCCCGACUUCGGGAGGGGUGUAUUUAUUAGAUAAAAAACCAAUGCCCUUCUGGGCUCUUUGGUGAUUCAUAAUAACUAAACGAAUCGCAUGGCCUUGCGCCGGCGAUGGUUCAUUCAAAUUUCUGCCCUAUCAACUUUCGAUGGUAGGAUAGUGGCCUACCAUGGUUUCAACGGGUAACGGGGAAUUAGGGUUCUAUUCCGGAGAGGGAGCCUGAGAAACGGCUACCACAUCCAAGGAAGGCAGCAGGCGCGCAAAUUACCCAAUCCCAAUACGGGGAGGUAGUGACAAUAAAUACUGAUACAGGGCUCUUAUGGGUCUUGUAAUCGGAAUGAGUACAAUUUAAAUCCCUUAACGAGGAACAAUUGGAGGGCAAGUCUGGUGCCAGCAGCCGCGGUAAUUCCAGCUCCAAUAGCGUAUAUUAAAGUUGUUGCAGUUAAAAAGCUCGUAGUUGAACCUUGGGCCUGGCUGGCCGGUCCGCCUCACCGCGUGUACUGGUCCGGCCGGGCCUUUCCUUCUGGCUAGCUGCAUGCCCUUCACUGGGUGUGUUAGCGAACCAGGACUUUUACUUUGAAAAAAUUAGAGUGUUCAAAGCAGGCCUUUGCUCGAAUACAUUAGCAUGGAAUAAUAGAAUAGGACGUGCGGUCCUAUUUUGUUGGUUUCUAGGACCGCCGUAAUGAUUAAUAGGGAUAGUCGGGGGUAUCAGUAUUCAAUUGUCAGAGGUGAAAUUCUUGGAUUUAUUGAAGACUAACUACUGCGAAAGCAUUUACCAAGGAUGUUUUCAUUAAUCAGUGAACGAAAGUUAGGGGAUCGAAGACGAUCAGAUACCGUCGUAGUCUUAACCGUAAACUAUGCCGACUAGGGAUCGGGCGAUGUUAUUAUUUUGACUCGCUCGGCACCUUACGAGAAAUCAAAGUC